CGUAAGGCGUUUUGACUUUUUUGUUUACGACGUUUGACCAUUCGUCUUAUUUAAAAAAUUAUGAAAGUAUCAUUUAUUUUGUUUGUGACUUUAUCAUCAAAAGUACUUUAAGAAUGACUUAAUUACUUUUUAUCUAUAAAACAAAUUUUUGAAUAAGACGAAUGGUCAAACGUUGUAAGAGCAAACCCAAGAGUUCAUCUAUA
rnacentral:pre_miRNA from 1 species